rnacentral:rRNA from 1 species
GGCGUGCUUAACACAUGCAAGUCGAACGAUGAAGCCUUUCGGGGUGGAUUAGUGGCGAACGGGUGAGUAACACGUGGGCAAUCUGCCCUUCACUCUGGGACAAGCCCUGGAAACGGGGUCUAAUACCGGAUAAUACUUUUCCCUGCAUGGGGGAGGGUUGAAAGCUCCGGCGGUGAAGGAUGAGCCCGCGGCCUAUCAGCUUGUUGGUGGGGUGAUGGCCUACCAAGGCGACGACGGGUAGCCGGCCUGAGAGGGCGACCGGCCACACUGGGACUGAGACACGGCCCAGACUCCUACGGGAGGCAGCAGUGGGGAAUAUUGCACAAUGGGCGGAAGCCUGAUGCAGCGACGCCGCGUGAGGGAUGACGGCCUUCGGGUUGUAAACCUCUUUCAGCAGGGAAGAAGCGUGAGUGACGGUACCUGCAGAAGAAGCGCCGGCUAACUACGUGCCAGCAGCCGCGGUAAUACGUAGGGCGCAAGCGUUGUCCGGAAUUAUUGGGCGUAAAGAGCUCGUAGGCGGCUUGUCGCGUCGGAUGUGAAAGCCCGGGGCUCAACCCCGGGUCUGCAUUCGAUACGGGCAGGCUGGAGUGUGGUAGGGGAGAUCGGAAUUCCUGGUGUAGCGGUGAAAUGCGCAGAUAUCAGGAGGAACACCGGUGGCGAAGGCGGAUCUCUGGGCCAUUACUGACGCUGAGGAGCGAAAGCGUGGGGAGCGAACAGGAUUAGAUACCC